GCCAUAGAUGGCUUUAUUAAGUUUUAAC
rnacentral:sRNA from 1 species